CUGAGCCAACUCUUCCACUGUAAUGAAGCAUUUGAUGCUCUUAGGAGACUUGCUUAUUUCAGUGGGUAAUGGCUCUGUUUAUUGAGUUUGCACAAAUGCAUUUGAUUUAGUCAAUUUAGGCUCUGCAUUUAAGCAAAUUAUGAGGUAGGUAGGACUCGAUCAGCAAGAGGUAAAUUAGUUUGAAUGCAUAUAGAAGGAUCUUGCAGAGGGCAAAUUUACAGUCAAACUGUCACAUGGAAAUCAUAAUGUGCAAUACUUGUCAGGUUUGACAAAUGAAUCAGGAUUGUAAAGUUGCCCUUACCUUGAGGUGUGCCUGCAUUUGACCAGCAACAGAACUGAAGUGGUGUGUUGUCUUGAACUGGCUCAGGAGAGAGAAACCUACAUAAAGCUGGAGUCACUACAUUUAAAAAGGUUUCUAUAGGGUCACUAGACUCUACAGUGAAAACAUUCAUCAGGAAAAGGUGUUCUCUCACCUCUGUGCAAGCUGUUGUCCACAUUCCUCAAUUCCUCAUAUUUUACAUGCUCAUGUACACACAGUGCCUUGCCUCCUCAAGGAAUGUGGGAAGGAGAUUGAUAACUCACAGGAAGGGAUGGACAUCCCCUGAAUACACAAAACAUGAGGGCCUCUGCAGAGAACAGAGCUGGGAUGCCAGUCACCCUAGAGCAAUUCCCUGAACUAGA